AUUGAACGCUGGCGGCAGGCCUAACACAUGCAAGUCGAACGCGUGGCGGACGGGUGGGUAAUGUCUGGGAAACUGCCUGAUGGCGGGGGAUAACUACUUGAAACGGUAGCUAAUACCGCAUACCAUCGGAUGUUCCCAGAUUGGAUUAGCUAGUAGGUGGGGUAAAGGAUCACCUAGGCGACGAUCCCUAGCUGGUCUGAGAGGAUGACCAGCCACACUGGAACUGAGACACGGUCCAGAAGCCUACGGGAGGCAGCAGUGGGGAAUAUUGCACAAUGGGCGCAAGCCUGAUGCAGCCAUGCCGCGUGUAUGAAGAAGGCCUUCGGGUUGUAAAGUACUUUCAGCGGGGAGGCGUUACCAGCAGAAGAAGCAAAGGCUAACUCCGUGCCAGCAGCCGCGGUAAUUC
rnacentral:rRNA from 1 species